CCUACGGGAGACAGCAGUGAGGAAUAUUGGUCAAUGGGCGCGAGCCUGAACCAGCCAAGUAGCGUGAAGGAUGACUGCCCUACGGGUUGUAAACUUCUUUUAUAAAGGAAUAAAGUGCGGCACGUGUGCCUUUUUGUAUGUACUUUUUGAAUAAGGCUCGGCCAACUCCGUGCCAGCAGCCGCGGUAAUACGGAGGACCCGAGUGUUAUCCGGAUUUAUUGGUUUUAAAGGGAGCGUAGAUGGGUUGUUAAGUCAGUUGUGAAAGUUUGCGGCUCAACCGUAAAAUUGCAAUUGAAACUGGCAGGCUGGAGUACAGGUGAGGUAGGCGGAAUUCGUGGUGUAGCGGUGAAAUGCUUAGAUAUCACGAAGAACUCCGAUUGCGAAGGCAGCUUACUAAACUGCCACUGACAUUGAUGCUCGAAAGUGUGGGUAUCAAACAGGAUUAGAUACCCUUGUAGUC
rnacentral:rRNA from 1 species